CUUAUAAGAAGAUGUAUACUAGUAUUUGUCAAUAGAGGAUUCUGUUGAAGUUAUGAACUGAUAUGGAUUGGGAAAACCUAAGUUGUUUUCCAUAAGGAUUCUAAUAGGAAAUCCUCAUUCCAUUGUGAGAAGGGAUAUGUGUAUGUAUAUAUAUAGCGGCCUCUCCUCUCAUAGGAUUACGCUAUUUAAGAACUAAGCCAUAUUCUUAGUUUGAGUAAUUAGCAUCCUGACAGAGGGAAGAAGAGCUGAUGUGCAUUCAAGUUGAUCGUGGAUAACCAUAGCUGCAUCCAAUGGAAGUUCUUCAGAAUUCUUAUAUAAACUCUUGGGUCCAAAAUCAAAGUGAAGCAGUUGUUGUGUUAUUGACUGGUGAUCCGUGCAUUCUAGACUAUUUUUCGUUUGGGUUUUCAGCACCAAUUUUGACCAGUCCAUCCAUUCUGGGGAGAAAUGGAAUUGGCUAUCAUUGGCAGAUGUAACCACAAUGCAAAGAUGGAUUCAUACAAUAUGAAAACGCAUCAUGGUUUACAAAAUGGUUGAAAUGUAUUAGGUAUUACAACAAGAUGGAUUAAAUAAGUCCUCAGGUGAAUUCAAACCUAAUUAUUACUAACGAUACCAACUUUUUCAUACCAAAUUGUUCAGACCUACACUAUUGUUGACCCUAAAAACUACCAAGCCUAUGUGGCACGUAGACCGAGUAACUAAUUAGCUAACUACAUCAUUCGGUUGAUGCGGGCAUGCCAACUCAUCUGCCAAGCUUGGCUGAGGAGUAAAAUAUGUUGAUGUUACGUUGCGUGCGCUGCUAAUUUCUUGAUCUUGUGAUUGUGGCCGAGGAAGAAACACUCUCGACCUUCGGGUUCUAAAGCUUGAAGACAAAGCUGCUAGUUCUAUGAAGUUCACAAAUCGUCGACGUCGGAUUCAGUCACGAUGAUUAUAUUCGUAAGUGUAUAAGCACGCUAAAUCAACACCAGACUAUAUGGACACAAGUAUUCAAAGUAGAUGUACGUUUUGAUCAUAAAUGUGGUUUGGCCGUCAGAAUGCCGAACUCUAAAUCCAACUUGUGAGUAUCCAAUCAUAAAAUAACUCGGCGUUCAACGCACCAAGUCUGGUGAUUCGUAACACCUCACUUCAUCGAGAAGGUUCGUGAGAUGACCUCUGCUAAUAAGGAUUUGAAAACCCUUCUC